AAGUCGUAACAAGGUUUCCGUAGGUGAACUUGCGGAAGGAUCAUUACAAUACGUAACUCACGUAUCAACCAACUUGUUGAACUGUAAAGUGCGUCCGAUAGGAAAAGCCUUUGUUGUCGGGUGAUGGGAGACUGGCGGUUUUGAAGUUGUGCACUUCGGUCGGUCUUCUUUUGUUCUGAAAGGAGCAAGCCCGCGUUUUUCCUAGUUCGCGUAUUUCAUACACUUUUUUUAACCCCUUUCACCAAACCACAAAUUAAACAACUCAUUGAACUGAACUCGAGCGAUGCUGAAAAGCGUCUGUUUCGAUUCUAUUUUUACGAAACGUAAGAACAACUCUUAACAGCGGAUAUCUUGGCUCUCGUAACGAUGAAGAACGCAGCGAAAUGCGAUACGUAAUGCGAAUUGCAGAACUCAGUGAAUCAUCAAAUCUUUGAACGCAGAUUGCGCUUUCGGGAUAGGCCUGAAAGCACGCCUCUUUGAGUAUCGAUUCAACCUCUGCUCGACGGUGUUCUUACCUUGUGUGAGCAACGUGUAGUCGGCUGGUAGUGAGUUUCGCACCUGCAUGGGUGCGUGACUUGAAGUAUCGACAGUUUAGUCGUUCCUGCUGAGAACAACAUCUGUCGAAACACGCUGAGCAAUGCGGUCAGUUUCUGCCUGUUACAAGGCGAAUCGAUGCAUUGGUGCGGCGCGUUUCGGUGAGUUGUUCGCUUGAAGCAGUCGAACACGUAUUUCGGCUUGUUCGCAAGUGUUCUUGAAAUACGCCUGGUGACUAACCACUUUGAUAAAGAAUCUCAAUGAAGCGAGGAAACCCGCCGAACUUAAGCAUAUCAAUAAACCGGAGGA
rnacentral:rRNA from 1 species